GCGACCCUAGGUCAGGCGGGACUACCCG
rnacentral:rRNA from 1 species